rnacentral:tRNA from 1 species
CAGGGAGACAACAAAAUGUUUAAUAUUAUUAUUUUGUCACCUUAGGUCGAUCGGUAUCUCACGCUCUUAAUUUGUUAAGAAUUUCAUUUCCUAAGUUUUUCUAGGUCACACCCAUUAUUUUCCUGGGCCAUUAGCUCAGGUGGUUAGAGCGCACCCCUGAUAAGGGUGAGGUCCCUGGUUCAAGUCCAGGAUGGCCCAUAUCUCUAUGUUGGGGGUAUAGCUCAGUUGGUAGAGCGCCUGCUUUGCAAGCAGGAUGUCAGCGGUUCGAGUCCGCUUACCUCCACUGAUUACCACCUCUUCCAUAAUCCGUAUUAGGGAAAUUUUUUGAGUUGUGAUCAAAUUCUGAACGAAUCUAGCUUCCUAAUGAAAUCAUUAAGAUGCUGGACUCAUUGAAUUAAUUUCAUUGUUUUCAGAGAACCUUGACAACUGCAUAGAUUAUUUUUUAAAGACAAUAAGCAUCUUUAAUGAUGCAGAUUUAUUAUUUGUGCUAAAGCAUUAAUAACAAUUCUAUUAAGCUGAUGCUUCAAUUUUGAAGUUAUU